rnacentral:tRNA from 1 species
GCAGUGAACUUAGCUCAGUGGUAGAGCACUUACUUAAAAUGCACAAGGCCCUGGGUUCAAUCCCCAAUACUGCA